rnacentral:lncRNA from 1 species
GAGUUAUCGUCAGCUCUGCUAGGCAGCAGUAAACGUAGAGAUGUUCGUCAGCUCUUGCUAGGCAGCAGUAAACGUAGAGAUGUAUCGUCAGCUCUGCUAGGCAAGAGUAAACUUAGAGAUGGCUUUCCAAAUGACACUAGUCCCUAUAUAGUGUGCUACUUUUGACCAGGGCCCUAGUCCCUAUAUAGUGCACUACUUUUGACUAGGGCCCAUAGGGACUUCUGAAAUCCGCCUGUCAUAGCUGAUACUGAAGUCAGUUAUUUAAGUGCAGCUGUGAUUCAGCCCGACUCAGAAUAAGGAAUUCAUUAUUACAUAAACACAUACUAUCUUUAAUGCCCUGCUUGUCUCAGAAUUAGUCAGUCAGAUACUUGCAAAAAGCACUUAAAACACAGAUUACAAUUACAGUGAGGAUUUUAAAUAAUUCUCAUUAAGCCUAGAUGCCCUCAAAAACUGAACUAAGUCGCAGCUUAUAGCCUAACACUCAUUGCACAAACAGUGCCAGUUAAAGAUACAAAAAGAAAAAUAACUGUAGCUAGCCCACAAAACACUUUCAAAUCCUCCUGGGGUCCAACAACCUGUUCAUCGGAGGAUUUGAAAGUGUCAUGUAAUGGAACUGUUAACUAGGUCACAGGAUGUAGGAAUGUUGCAGAGGUCCAUGUGUCACUGAGGAGGGUUGACUGCCCAACAAUAAAAGGUGUCAGAGGCCGCUUGUAGUUGUGUAUCUGCUGGGUCUUCUGUGAUGUGCUGUAUCAUUCACAUCUCCUGUUGAUGUKUGAUGCCAGCAGCUCCAGGGAGGAAGGUGAAACUAGUCCACAGGGCUCCUGCUUAUUUCUGUUAAAGCUGCGGUCAUAUUAUUACUGCUGCCCCUAGAGGGGCAUCCAGGAGCUCCUAUUCCACCUCAGCAAGCUGCAGCGGGAUGGAAGGAAGGACGGACGGAGGAGACGGACGGAGGAGACCGACGGAGGAGACCGACGUAUGUACGGACGGUUGGAGACGAGGGAUACAGUCUGCAGUGGGAGGGAGGGAAGGACGGAGGAGACCAACGUAUGUACGGACGGUUGGAGACGAGGGAUACAGUCUGCAGUGGGAUGGAGGGAAGGACGCGAGGAGCCAACGUAUGUACGGACGUUGGAGACGAGGGAUACAGUCUGCAGUGGGAGGGGAGGGAAGGACGGAGGAGACCGACGUAUGUACGACGGUGGGCGAGGGAUACAGUCUGCAGUGGUGGAGGGGACGGAGGAGACCGACGUAUGUAGGCACGGUUGGAGACGGGGAUACAGUCUGCAGUGGGAUGAGGGAGGAGGACGGAGGAGACCGACGUAUGUACGGACGGUCGGAGACGAGGGAUACAGUCUGCAGUGGAGGGAAGGACGGAGGCGACCGACGUAUGUACGGACGGUUGGAGACGAGGGAUACAGUCUGCAGUGGGAUGGAGGGACGGAGGAGACCGACGUAUGUACGGACGGUCGGAGACGAGGGAUACAGUCUGCAGUGGGAUGGAGGGAGGGAAGGACGGACGGAGGAGACCGACGUAUGUACAGACAGUCGGAGAUGAGGGAUACAGUCUGCAGUAGCCAUGAUGCACAUCACACCUCCAUCCCCACCACUUGCAGCUCUGCCACGAGCCUGGCUGAUGAAAUAUUACCAUGGCGUUUUAAGGGGAAUGUUCCCACGGUGUCAAUGAGUACUCAGUGUUUCAAUGGCAUCCCGUGUCAACAAAUCCUAAAUCAAACGCUGCUUUGGGGUUCUCACAACGAGGAGGAUUUUCUACAUGGCAGCUAGUGUGCUUUAUUAGACAGCGGUAACCUAAUGUAGCAGGCGUAAAAUAAACACCUGAUCCCCUACAUACUGGUACCGACAAAUAAAAUAAAAUAAUAUAUAUAUAUAUUGUAACUGCUGAGAGGUUAUCUUCUGCACUGUUCAACCAAUCUAGUAAAAUGUGGAGGAGUUCAGAUGGACGGAAGUCGCUGGCUGUCUUUUCUAUUUCCCCUGAACAGCAGAACAUCUAGUUGUUGUGGACUGGGCGGAGCCUAGACGGUGGUGGUGUUGGCUCCCCCUCCUCUAAUAGGCUGGUGUACUACGUUCUCUCCUUCUCUUCUCUGUGAAUCAGCGCAGGCUCUCUGUAUGUCACCACCAAGACUCACUAGCGGGCCAGUUUAAAGACCCCGUCCCAGCAAACCAGGCUGCUAGUUUGAGUGCAGUAAAAUGUUUUUUUUUGCUCAAACUUUUACCAAGGAUAUUGUUUUUCUGAUUAAAAAUCAGACAAUAGCCUAUAUGCUAACCUAGCUUCAGCAUAUCUGUCAUUCUGCAUGCAACCCACUAGCCUGUGGUUACAUUUACUGUAUAGUGAGAGAGAAAAAAACAACCCUGAACCUUCUGGGGGGCAUUGAUGCCUCUGCAAUGUUUAUUUCUCAGUGUGUGUGUGUGUGUAUGUAUAUAUAUAUUAGUCGUGAGAUGCGAGAACAGUAGCAACAGUGAUGAGCUCCAAUGGGAUUUGCAGGAAAGCCAUGCAUUGCAAUCAGGAGGCCCAUUGCUUCAUCACAGCAAAUAGAACACAACGUUCUAAAGCCGUGCUUGACUUCACAUCAUGCCAAUCACACAUGCAGUCAACUGUAUUUUCCCCAUCAUCAAAAAGAGAAUAUUUCCAUGUGACCCAGAUCAGACAUCCUGAGCCCAGACUGAGCCCAGAAAUAACUCCCUGCAACUCUCCCAUCUCUGACCGUGGAGGAGCGCCAGAUUCAAUCCAACCUGCCGUGCCACUGUUUAUACUGCCRGUCUACAAACUAGCUGGGUCCCGCAGGAAGGCGCACACAUUAUUUUACCAAAAACUGUGGGUAUCAGUACCUGUAGGAAGAGUACCUGGUAUUUCCACAGUAACCAAAACCCUUCUGUGAAUGUAUUUUGACCAUGGGGGGGAAAAGCUAGUUCUAUGUUUAGGCUACACACUAUUGCAUAAAUACUGCAAUGCGGGUUCAACUGAAUGGAGUCAGGUAGAAGGUUGUGUAUUAACUUCCCGAAGUCAGCAUUUACUGUCUGUCUGCUACACAUGCACACAAGGUGUCAACUGGAAGAACACUUUAGUUUCAGUAUUACCCCUUCAAUGACCCUGCUAGAAAUGGACCUGUUGGUGACAAAUCCAGAGCUGUUGCUGGCCCACGUCUCUUACUGAGACACUUGAAGUCAACCACAGCCUGCUAGCCUGUCCCUGCCACAAUACCUCUCCUUGUCGUCUCCAGCGUGUUUCCAUAUCAGGCUUCGGUCUCAAAAAUAGCCAUUCUAACACAGCCCUGUCUAAGGGGACUGUUGACAUUAAACUCUAAAGAACAGGCCUAGUUGAAUGUAGGCGGUCUGAAGAGGCAGUGGGAUUUUCAGUAUUUGCAUCUGGUCUUAGCCUAAGUAUUGUCAAUCAAUAACCUUGAGAAUUGUGCAAAUAUCCCCAGUCAGACAGACAAUCAUUCAGUGUGCCAGCAAGGUAUGUGGACCUGUCCUUUAACACUGAAAUAGGAUACGGUGCUGCCGUAUUGUGAAGCUCCUUAUCAAUGCUUAUUCAAGUAGAGCAGUGGUUCCAACUCCGGUCCUCCAGUACCCCCACAGAACACAUUGUAGCCCUGGACAAACUCACCUGAUUCAACUCAUUGAGGGCCUGAUGAUUCGUUGACAAGUUGAAUCAGGUGUGCUUGUCCGGGGCUACAAUAACAAAUGUGUACUAUUGGGGGUACUGGAGGACCGGGGUUGGGAAUAACCCUCAAAUAUUUUCCGGUCCUGAGCAAAUUUCAGGUCUUCUGAGCGCAAACUUGAACAUUGUGAAAAUUCUGUGCAACUUCCAGCACGUGUUAACUGUGACACUGAGGCUGUCUCCGCUUUAAGUUACAGUUCUAACAGUGGCCAAGUAGGCUGCUGUGGUCAUGUGAUCAUAAUGUAGGCCUAUGAGAGUGGCCUACCAUCAGAAACCAUGGAGAAAGUGUAUCCCAUUACAUUUUUACAUGGAAAUAGCUGUUCUAUCAUUCAGCCUACAGUAGUAGCCAAUGUGUGGUGUUCAAUGUAGACCUACAUUCCAUGAGGCUUUUGAAAAAAACAUGACGGGCUUGAUAUUAACCUGUUUAUCCUUCAGAGAAAGGAGGUGACUGAAAAUGUAGUUUGUUGCAAGUAACCAGUUUACAAAAUAAAAUGCAUUAUUAUUCCCAUACCAUUAUUACAGAGAAUCAGACAAAUGAUGCUACCCUCUGCCUAUUGGUUACUUAGCUUAUUCAAGCAUGUCUCAAAAUUCAACUAUGCCCCCGAGUGGCGCAGCAGUCUAAGGCACUGCAUCUCAGUGCUAGAUGUGUCACUACAGACACUGGUUCGAUUCCAGCUGUAUCACAACUGGCCGUGAUUGAGAGUCCCAUAGGGUAGCACACAAUUGGCACAGCGUCGUCCGGGUUAGGCCGUCAUUGUAAAUAAGAAAUUUGUUCUUAACUGACUUGCCUAGUUAAAUAAAAUAGACAAAAUAAAAGAAUAACUCUUUAAAUCCGACUUGUUUUUAAAGAUGUCUAGAAAUGUACACGUUCUGUGCUCUUGUAGGAAGCAAAUCACUCCCCUAUUGCAGACUACAAAUUCUCUCUAACUGGGCUAAUAACUCACUAACUAGCAAAAGAUAUGAACAAAAUGUGCACACGUGGCUACAUGCAGCUCUUGCUUUGAUCUCAAAACAAGCACAUCUACUCACGACAACAGUCGUAAAAACAGAUCCAUAUAUGGCAAUGGUCUAUUUGCAUAUAGGCCUACUGCAGAUGUGAUUAUGUCACACCGGUCUGUGUAGAGUACAAGCGGAGUUGUGCCCAAUAGAAUCCUACCUACAACAAAAUCUCUUGAAUACUUUGUUUUGUUGCAUUGAAAGUGGCUAAUAUUGGCUGAUUCAAAUCACAUUAAAGGGAAACGUUGAUUGCCACAGUCAAGGGAAACGUUGAUUGCCACAGUCAAGGGAAACGUUGAUUGCCACAGUCAAGGGAAACGUUGAUUGCCACAGUCAAGGGAAACGUUGAUUGCCACAGUCAAGGGAAAUGUUGAUUGCCACAGUCAAGGGAAACGUUGAUUGCCACAGUCAAGGGAAACGUUGAUUGCCACAGUCAAGGGAAAUGUUGACAGUGUUAACAGUAGAAGAGAAACAUUGAUAGCAUUAACAGGGAAAACUCUAGAGAGUUGAGUGAAGUUCAAUCUCGUGCUUGUCACUGUGGGCCGAUAUGUCUUCAGCGCGCUCUGACUGCUGCGUGCACACUCACAGCUUACAGGGAACAUUGGUUGGGAACCACUGAAGUAGAACACCAACACAUUCUCCUCGGUGCUCACAACUCAACUUGUUUAUCUCAGGGUCAUAUGUGCAUGCAGAGAGACAGGAUUGCAAAACGUGAUGUGACAUCUUUUAAAAAUGUAGAAAUGAAAUAGGCUGAGUUCCAUGGGGUGUUUCCCCCUCUCCUUACAUGUCUCUGAAAUAAGCAAAUGAUCCCAUUGCCAACCCUCCAGCACCGUACAUACAUGGUGACCGGGAUUGUCAGAACACGUCAGAGUCAGAGCUUUGAGGCAGACUAGUAGUAAUCUUCACAAGAUACUAGAGGUCGACCGAUUAAUCGGAAUGACCGAUUAAUUAGGGCCGAUUUCAAGUUUCUAACAAUCGGAAUCGGUGUUCAACUGAUCUGUUACCCCACACACAUAAUUAUCUGUAAGGUCCCUCAGUUGAGUAGUGCAUUUCAAAACACAGAUUCGACCAAAGACCCCCCCCCCCCCCCCCCCCCCCCCCCCCCCCCCCCCCCCCCCCCCCCCCCCCCCCCCCCCCCCCCCCCCCCCCCCCCCCCCCCCCCCCCUCCCCCCCCCCCCCCCCCCCCAGUUCUCGCAAAUGGCACUAUUGGUAGAUGGGUAAAAAGGCAGACAUUGAAUAUCCAUUUGAGCAUGGUGAAGUUAUUAAUUACACUGUAGAUGGUGUAUCAAUACACCCAGUCACUACAAAGACACAGGCGUCCUUCCUAACAGAGAAGCCAGCAGAGGAAGGAAACCCCUUAGGGUUUUCACAAUGAGGCCAGUAGUGAUUUUAAAACAUUAACAGAUGGCUGUGAAUGGUAGAACACUGAGGAUAGAUCAACAACAUUGUAUUUACUCCACAAUACUAACCAAAAUGAUUGAGUGAAAAGGAUGAAGUCUGUUCAGAAUAAAAAGCAUCCAGUUUGCAAAAAGGCACUAAACAAGUAAUAAUGCAAAACAUUUGCCAAAAGGAAUGUACUUUUUGUUUUGAAUACAACAUGUUGUUUGGGGCAAAUCCAACAACACAUUCCUGAUUAUUACUCUCUAUAUAUUUCAAACAUGGUGGUGGCUGCAUCAUGUUAUGAGUAUGAUUGUCAUUGGCAAGGACUCUCGAUUUUUCAGGAAUAAAACCCUGCAGAAUGAAACUAACCACAGGCAAAAUCCUAGAGGAACACCUGAUUCAGACUG